AGACAUAAUGAUCAACGCUUGACCAAACCAAGUUUUCUUGCUUCCUGCAGCGUAUUUGGUCCAAAGGUAUCAUGCAUCAACACCUGAUCCAUCUCUCUAGUUGUCUUGCUGGGGCAGGACCUGUGAAUUUGAAGUCUAGUUGUUUGAGCAUAUCACUUAGGUCUGUGUGCAAAUAAGGCCAAUCAUUUCUCUCAGUAUACCACACCUAUAAAUUUGACACAGUUAUCGAUUAAAUCUAUUAAUUGCUUGUGUACCAUCAGUGGAUCUGAAUCAUUCUCAAAAUCGAUUUUCCGAUGGUACAAGUGGAAUUGAAACCCUGUCGUCAAACCCUAAAAUUGCCUACGAUCACCGAUAACAUGGCCAUGAUGGCCGUUGGCCAGCCUCCGGUGGAGGUUAGGUCAGCAGCACUUACUGCGACUAAAGAACCUGCGAAAGUAAUGUAUGCGAAUACCAUAAAACCACAAUACAAACCUAUACCAUUGAAGCAGAUAACGUAUUUACAUGGGGAGCCAAGAAUUGUUUGGGAAGAGGAGGAGGUCAGUCAAAUGAUUAUUAACAAGGACUUGCAAUAUGCAGUGAUAUGGAAAUUUUCAUAUGGUUGGCCAGAAAUACAAGAUCUCAGGAGGUUAAUCCCUAGGCAAUGUGAAUUGAAAGGGGAAGUGAACAUUGGAUUGCUGAGUAAUAGAUACAUAUUAAUAAGGGUGACGAGGCUGGAUGACUUCGUGAAUCUACUGUCAAAGCCACAGUUUUACAUUACACAACUAUUAGUCACAUCCAAUGCGCACUCUAAACUGGGAUCCAUUGUUUGAUCCAGCGGAUGAAACAUCAAUAGCGAUAACAUGGAUUUUCUUUCCAUCAUUACCAUCAAUUUUCUUGGGAAAGAAGCAGUUUUCUCGUUGGCAGUAGUUGUAGGUAAACCCUUGCAAGUAGAUGUAGCCACACAAAAUAAAACCAGGCCAAGUUGUGCAAGUGUCAAAGCGAAAGUCGACUUAUUAGGGGAAUUUCCAAAGAGGAUUAAUGUGGGUAUGAGAAUGAAAUCAAGAGAAGUCAAGGAAAAGUGGGUGACUAUAAGAUAUGAUUAUGUGCCAAAAAAUUGUAAAACAUGCAAACUUCGGGGACACAAUGCGAAGGAGUGUUUUAUCAUUCAUCCAGAGUUAUACCCUAAAGAGGAGGAAGAAGAAAACAAGGAAAAUAAGGAAGACGAUAAGAAAAAAGGAAAUCUAGCAGGAGAGAAGAAAGAAGGAAAUGACACCACAAAAGAAGAUAAAGGAAAAACAAAGCAAGGAGAAAAUACAGAAUUCCAGGAGCAAAAGAGGAAAAAAGGGUCCAGAAAAGGAAGACAGAAUCAUAGAGGAAGAAUGGAGAUGAGAUGGAAUUUGAGACCCUAAAAUAAGGAGCAAGAAGUUUUGACUGGUAAUAAAUUUGGGGCAUUGGAAGAGAACAUAAGGGGUGUUUGGAUGAGCGUUUUUUUUUAAGUGACUUAAAAGCUAAAAGCAAAAAACCUACUUUUGGCCUUUUUUCUUUAUACUUUUUAAGCCUAAAGUAAAGUGCUUAAAAGCAUUUUUUAUUUUUGCCAAACACCUCCAAAAAUAAAAAAAGUGUUUAAAAGCCAAAAACACUUAAAAAUAAGCCAAUCCAAACAUCUUCAUAGAAGGGGAUAAAGAGGAAAUGAUGGAGAAAGAGAGAGUAACAGAAAUCAAGAAAAAUACUAAAGAUAAAGAGGCAAACAAAGAGGAUAAGGACAGAGACAUGGAGAAGGACUCUGUCAGUUCUAUGGGAUCCAACAGUAAAAGCAAACAAAAUGAAACACAAGGGUCAGUUGUGAAGAAUACACCCUAUGAAGAGAAGGUGAAUACCUUAGUACAAUUACAGUAGUCACCGGAGAAGUCAUCACAAGGUGUAGUGGACAUGCAAGAGAGAACAAUUCAGAUCAAACACAGAAGACACCAGAAAAGGCAACACAAGAUGAAGUGGAACUGGCAAGGGAGGAGGAAAUAAAGUCACCACUAUUUAUAUGACAGUGACAGGACAAUAUGAAUAUAGAAUAGAUGAAGGAGGAGGAGAAUCAGGGACUGAGAUUCCUUAAAUUAACACAUAUACUAAUCAAGAAAUCAAAGAUAAGUAAAGCACAAAUGACAAUAUGGAAGUUAAUGUAGAAGAAGUGAGACUUGUCGCCAAGGCAAAUAGGGCAGCUCAGAGGAAAGAAUAUAAAGGGGUCAAAACCUACAUUGCCCCAGUCACAAAUGAAUACAAGGAGGAAGAAGGUUUCAUCUUUUACCUCUGAUCAAUGAUUAACAAGGUAUUUUUUUGGAAUAUCAGGUCUGUGAGGACUCAAAAUGCUUUUGAGAAACUAAUGGAUCUGUAUAGGAGACAUCAUUACUCUUACAUUGCUAUAUUCGAACCUUUUCAAAGCCCAAGUGAAUAGGAGAAUUAUAGAAGAAAAUUGGGGAUGCUUAAUGCUAGAGUCAAUUCUUUUGCAAAAAUAUGGAUUUUUUGGGAAGAUUAUCGGGAGGAAAAAGACUGUAUAAAUACAAUUCAACAGAUUACAAUGACCUUUCAACUAAGGGGAGGAGCUGUGUUUCAGGGUGACACCAGUGUAUGCAAGAUGCAAUGCUUUAGAAAGGCUGGAGCUUUGGGAUGAUUUGGAAAUUGUUGCAGAUCAAACUAGCAUUCCUUGGUGGUAGGAGGAGAUUUCAACACUAUUGCAGAUGAGUCACAGAAAUUGGGAGGCUUAUCAGUUGCUCAGCAAGAAACUACAGAUUUUACAUACUGCAUGAACGCUUGUUCUCUAAAUAAACUAAAAUUCACCGGAAGUUGCUAUACAUGGUGGAAUGGUAGAAUUGCAGAGGAAAGCAUCUUCAAAAGGCUUGAUGGAGUUUUGGGAACAAUGAGUUUAUGCAAAAACUCCCCAACAGUGAGGUGCACCAUUUGAUUAGACAAGGGUCAGAUCAUGCGACGCUGCAUGAGUUAUGCAAUACAUCAGAGGAACAGGUGCUUAAGCCUUUCAAAUUUUUGAAUUUCCGGGCAAAACAUAAAGAUUUCAUUAAAGUGGUGGAGGAAAACUGGAAUGAAGAGGUGAAAUGAGGAAAACCGGAAUGAAGAGGUGACGUGGUCUCCAUUUACUAUUGUGCAUUCCAAAAUGAAGAAGGUCAAAACUAAUUUGGCACAGUGGAGUAAAAAGACCUGUGGGAAUAUUUUUUAGAGAAUAGCCACUUUGGAGGACAUUGUUAAAUCCAAGGUAGUGCAAUUAGAAGUGGCACCUACGGAGAAAAAUAGAAGUGAGCUUAAGCUUGCAGAAGCUAACUUGAAGAGAUUUUUGAACAUGGAGGAGGAAUAUUGAAGGCAGAAAGCUGGAAUGAAAUGGCUCAUUUCAUGCCUAUGUGAAAGAAAGAAGGAGAAAGAUGCAGAUUAAUGAAAUUCAAACAAUGCAAGGGGACAUGAUCAGCACCUUGCGAACAUUGGAGAAGAAGCUGUUAAUGCCUUUAAGGAGCAGUUCAAGGAAAACGUGGAGGCAAGCAACUAUGACAUGCUCAAAUGUAUCCCGCAAUUGAUUAAGGGGAGGAGAAUGAAGAAAUGGGGAGCAUGCCAACCAUAGAGGAGGUUAAAGAGGUGGUUUUUUCACUAAAUUCUGAUAGUGCUAGUGGACCUAAUGGUUUCUCAAGGCAGUUUUUUCAAUCAAGUUGGGAGAUCAUUGGUAAUGACAUACUAAUAUGGUAAAGGCAUUCUUUUGUGGGUGUGAAUUACCAAGGUAUGUGACUCACACUAAUCUGGUACUUAUUCCUAAAAAAGAGGUGGUCUAGAAGUUUGGUGACCUGAGACCUAUUAGCCUAAGCACCUUUACUAAUAAGAUUAUUUCAAGAGUGCUUCAUGAAAGGAUAGUUAAGCUGCUGCCUAGGCUAAUAUCACAAAACCAUCUGGUUUUGUGAAGGGCAAGAGUAUCACAGAAAAUGUGUUGCUAGCACAAAAGAUUAUAAGGGACAUUAACAGGAGGAAUAAGAUACACAAUGUAGUGGUAAAAUUGAACAUGGCUAAGGCAUAUGAUAGAGUCUCAUAAAAGUUCCUGGUUAAGUUAAUGAAGAGCUUUGGAUUUAUCAUAGAAGAUCAUUGAUUUGAUAGUGAGGCUUAUAAGCUGUAACUGGUAUUCAGUUUUUAUGAAUGGACAAUCAUUUUUUUUUUUCCAAUCAUCCAGAGGCCUCAAACUGAUCCUUUAUCACCUACCUUUUUUAUUAUUGCAGCAGAGGUUCUUGCAAGGAAUUUGAAUGAGCUUUUUGAAGAUCCUGAGUACAAAGGGUAUGGUUUGCCUAAAUGGAGUCCAAAAAUCAAUCAUUUAUCCUAUGCAGUUGAUACCAUUUUAUUUUGUUCAGGCCAUUUGACCUCCAUGAAGUAAAUGAUGAAAGUAUUGAGAGAAUAUGAGAUAGUAUUAGGACAAAUGAUUAAUUUAGAGAAGAGUUCUGUAUAUCUACAUGAAAAAGUUUCAAUUGGAGUAAGCAAUCAAAUAAAAAGGAUUGCAGGAGUAAAACAAGGAUCCUUUCCUUUUUUCUACCUUGGAUGCCCUUUGUUUUAUGGGAGAAAGAAUAAAAGACAUUUUGAAUAACUGAUCAAGAAAGUUAUGAAAAGGCUGAGUUUGUGGCAGAAUAAACUUUUGUCAUUUGGAGGUAGGUAUAUCGUGAUAACACAUGUAUUACAAUCUAUGCCUGUCUACCUAUUGUCAGCAUUGAAUCCUCCCAGCAUGUGUUAUAAACGAGUUGCAUAAAAUUUUUGCUCGAUUUUCCUGAGCAAAUGCUACUCGUUCAAGAAACAAUCAUUGAGUUUCAUGGGAAACAUGUGCUAUCAUAGGGAAGGAGGAAUAGGGUUCAGAUCAUUACGUGUAGUCUCAAAGGCUUUCUUUGUUAAGUUAUGGCGGAAUUUCAGAGUCUCCACAUCAUAGUGGAAUAAAUAUUAAAAGAAAAUGUCACCCUAUAAUGGUGAGAGGCUUUGGAGCCUCUCAUGUGUGGAGGCAAAUGGUUGAAGUUAUAGAGGAGGUGGAACACAACAUAUGAUGGCAGGUGAAAGCAAGCAUCUCUAGUUUCUGGUUUGAUAAAUGGACCAAACAUGGAGCCCUUUACCAUGUAGAGGGGGACAAUGUAGUUAAGGAGGAACUGGAGUUAAGGGAGUCUUGUAGAGAGGGAAGAUGGGACGAAGUGAAACUAAGGAGUAAGCUGUCAGAGAAGAUGACAAAUCACAUCCUGGAAAAUAUAAAGCCUCUCACAGAGUUGGAGACAAAUGAUACACCUUGGUGGAUGGGGAAUUCUCAAGAAAAAUUUACAGUCAAGGCGUCAUGGGAAAUCAUGAGUCAAAAGUAAGAACAGAAAGAAGAGUACAAGCAGAUUUGGGUUAAAGGGUUACCUUUAAUGAUAAACAUUUUCAUGUGGAAGGCUUGGAAGGGAAGGAUGGCCACAUUUGAUAACAUGAAAAGAAUGAGAAUCAAUAUUGUAUCUAGAUGCUGGUGCUGUGAGGAGAAAGAUGAGGAGACAAUGGCCCACUUAUUUCUAACAACCCCCAUAGCCACUAGACUAUGGAGGCAGUUUGCUAUUUUUGCAGGAAUAGACAUUGAAGACAUGCAUUUGCAGCAAAUCAUCUCCACCUGGUGGACAAUGAAUGCAACACUAAAACUAGAGGCAGUAUACAAAGCUAUCCCAGCAAUCAUAAUGUGGACCAUAUGGAAGAGAAAAAAAUGCAAUAAAGCAUGGUGGGAAAGUAACAUGUAUGGAAAUGGUAUGGCAGGCUCAGGAUCUAAUUAGAAAGCUGAUAAAAUGUUACAUCCCUGGAUUAGGAUAGGAAAGGAGUGUUGGCCUCACAUUGUUAUUAAGUUGAGGGAAUACAAGCCAAAAUUACACUAUUAAAGUGUCAUAACAAGCUCAAAUGUAACACAGAUGGUGCAAGUAGAGGCAGUCCAGGAUUGAGUGCCUUUGCCUUCUACAUUAGAGAUGAAAAUGGUCAUAUGGUCCUUGCUAGAGCUAAAGGAAUAGGAGUUGCCACACACACAGUAGCAGAAAUGAAGGCUAUUCAGGAGGCUUUGUAAUUCAAACAAGAGGAGCUAGGGAAGUAACUUUAGAGACAGAUUCUCUUAACUCUAAAGAGUGAUAGACAGACGGGUGGAAAGAGCCAUGGGAACUAAUUGAUCAUAUAGAAGAUAUAAGGUACAGACUACAGUUAACCCAAGCACAAAUCAAGCACACAUUCAGAGAAAGGAACACAGUAGCAGAUGCAUAGGCAAAUGAAGUAAUUGCUACACAAAACUCGGUGGACUAUCAUAGUUUCUAUGAGUUAUCAACAACAAUUAGAAAGCAAAUAAACAUGGAUAAGACUCAAAUCCUCAAUUUCAGGAUUCAGGCAAGGAAAAUUAACACUAAAGCAUAAAAAGAGAAGCAUGCAUAGGAUUGAGAAGCAGUCACACAGCAUAAAAAGAGCUACAACGGAUCCCGAUAAUUACAAUGCCAUGGGAAUCAGGAAUAAACAUGAGCACAAAGAUAAGUCUAGCUAAGUCUAGCUAGAUGCCCUACCUGGCAAAAACCUUCACCAAAAAAAGGGAUAGAUGGAGCUUCCCUCCACAGCAACUAAGUCUUGACAGCGACAUGAAAGAGAAUAGCAAUGACACAACAAUAUUUGCAUAAAGCAAGACACAAUUCAGAGAUUGAAGAGUUAAAAUAUGAGGAAGUGGACAAAAGAGGAGAAACAGUAGGUGUUUGGAUUGACUAAUUUUUAGGUGCUUUUAGCUUUUAAGCACUUUUUCAGUUUUGGUGGUGUUUGGCAAAGUAAAAAAGUGCUUUUAAGCACUUAUUUUUAAGUCAAAAAGUGUCAAAAUAAGCCACAAGCCAAAAGCCAAAAGCCAAAAGCCAAAAGUAGGGUAGUACCAACUUAUGGCUUUUGGCUUUUCGCUUAUAAGCUCCUUAUUAAAAGCCAAUCCAAACAGGCCCAUAAUCGACUUACGAAGCUUCAAGAAUCUGAACAUUGACAUCACAUUACUUCAGUACCUUGGGGAUAAACCCUGACCACCUGAAAAGAAGAGCAGAGGGUCAGAUCUGAGCUACAAAAGCAAAUUGAGAGGAGAGAAAGUGAGCUCACCAGAUGCAAGUGAAGAUGAUAGACAGAGCAUAACCAUCAGUAAGCAAGGAUGGAGCUUGAAGAUGAUACAAAGGAGGUACAAGAUGAACUGCCGAUUCAAGCUUGGAUGGCACAUCCCACAAAGGCGGCGAUGAAGAGUACCGAGUACUCUUGGACAACAAUGAAUAUUUUUACUACUUUUAGGAAACUUUUCGCAUUCCUUUUCUUUGAACUGGGUUAUUUAUUGGAUCCGGAUCUUU
rnacentral:lncRNA from 1 species